rnacentral:tRNA from 1 species
GGGGCUAUAGCUCAGCUGGGAGAGCGCGUGACUGGCAGUCACGAGGUCGACGGUUCGAGCCCGUCUAGCUCCA